rnacentral:rRNA from 1 species
GAACUUGCCUCUUGGACUGGGACAACUGUUGGAAACGACAGCUAAUACCGGAUAUUAUGAGAUUCUCGCAUGAGAAACUUAUGAAAGCUAUAUGCGCCAAGAGAGAGCCUUGCGUUCCAUUAGCUAGUUGGUGGGGUAACGGCCCACCAAGGCGACGAUGGAUAGCCGGCCUGAGAGGGUGAACGGCCACAAGGGGACUGAGACACGGCCCUUACUCCUACGGGAGGCAGCAGUGGGGAAUAUUGGACAAUGGGCCACAAGCCUGAUCCAGCAAUUCUGUGUGCACGAUGAAGGUCUUCGGAUUGUAAAGUGCUUUCAGUUGGGAAGAAGAAAGUGAC